GAUGAACGCUGGCGGCGUGCCUAAUACAUGCAAGUCGAGCGAACAGAUGAGGAGCUUGCUCCUCUGACGUUAGCGGCGGACGGGUGAGUAACACGUGGAUAACCUACCUAUAAGACUGGGAUAACUUCGGGAAACCGGAGCUAAUACCGGAUAAUAUAUUGAACCGCAUGGUUCAAUAGUGAAAGUCGGUUUUGCUGUCACUUAUAGAUGGAUCCGCGCCGCAUUAGCUAGUUGGUAAGGUAACGGCUUACCAAGGCAACGAUGCGUAGCCGACCUGAGGGGGUGAUCGGCCACACUGGAACUGAGACACGGUCCAGACUCCUACGGGAGGCAGCAGUAGGGAAUCUUCCGCAAUGGGCGAAAGCCUGACGGAGCAACGCCGCGUGAGUGAUGAAGGUCUUCGGAUCGUAAAACUCUGUUAUUAGGGAAGAACAAAUGUGUAAGUAACUAUGCACGUCUUGACGGUACCUAAUCAGAAAGCCACGGCUAACUACGUG
rnacentral:rRNA from 1 species